UACGUAGGGGGCAAGCGUUGUCCGGAAUCAUUGGGCGUAAAGAGCGUGUAGGCGGCUCGAUAAGUCUGCUGUGAAAGUCCAGGGCUCAACCCUGGAAGGCCGGUGGAAACUGUCGGGCUAGAGUCCGGAAGAGGCGAGUGGAAUUCCCGGUGUAGCGAUGAAAUGCGCAGAUAUCGGGAGGAACACCAAUGGCGAAGGCAGCUCGCUGGGACGGUACUGACGCUGAGGCGCGAAAGCGUGGGGAGCAAACAGG
rnacentral:rRNA from 1 species